rnacentral:rRNA from 1 species
UACAGAGGGUGCAAACGUUGCUCGGAAUUAUUGGGCGUAAAGCGCGUGUAGGCGGCUUGUUAAGUCGGUUGUGAAAACCCAUGGCUCAACCAUGGAAGGGCGUCCGAAACUGGCAAGCUAGAGUCCCGACGAGGAUGGCGGAAUUCCCAGUGUAGAGGUGAAAUUCGUAGAUAUCGGGAGGAACACCGGUGGCGAAGGCGGCGACCUGGGUAGAUACUGACGCUGAGGUGCGAAAGCGUGGGGAGCAAACAGG